GGUCCCUGUGGCCUCCGACCCAACACAACAAUCGGCGCGGUUGGCGCCAAGAAACUCACAACGGAACGGGUGUGGCACUGCUGUGACUUGUGCAUGGCGUGUGCUGUCCCAAAAUCCGAAUCUUAUUAACGACUCUCGGCAACGGAUAUCUCGGCUCUCGCAUCGAUGAAGAACGUAGCGAAAUGCGAUACUUGGUGUGAAUUGCAGAAUCCCGUGAACCAUCGAGUCUUUGAACGCAAGUUGCGCCCUAGGCCAUCGGGCCGAGGGCACGUCUGCCUGGGCGUCACGCAUCGCGUCGCCCUCCCUCGAACCCCCUUGUGGCGGCCGAGUGCGGAGCGGAGAUUGGCCCCCCAUUCCCCCUUUUKGGGUGUGGUCGGCCUAAAAGGAAUGGCCCCCGUGUGACGAGCACCACGACGAGAGGUGGUUGUAUCCAACUCUGCUAGACGUCACGUGCUUCGUCCCCGUGGGCUGUCUAUGGAACCCUCURAUCAUACGACUGCGACCCCA
rnacentral:misc_RNA from 1 species